rnacentral:rRNA from 1 species
AUGAGAUUGUAUAGGUAGGACACAACAAACUCCUUCCGCUUAUCAUCUCCAGAACGAGCCUUUUCAAUUAGCUUCUUGAGGGCUCUUCGCUCAGUCAAUGCUGCCCUGGAAGAAGUAAUUCCCAGCUUCAGAGCAGCCAUAUGAAAGACCUCAAGCUCCCCACUAUCGCUGGAACUGUUCAUUUUAUUGUUUCUCUGGAGCAAAUUGAUCACCUCAUCACCAGCUUCCUUCUCUGAUUGAUCCAAUGUAAAUACAACCUCCUCCAACUCACCAAUGAUCUCUACAAUCUUAUGGCCAAUAUCUUCGGUUACUAUGCUUUCGACACGCCGUAGACUUUCCUGA